rnacentral:rRNA from 1 species
UGAGGAAUAUUGGUCAAUGGGCGGAAGCCUGAACCAGCCAUGCCGCGUGCAGGACGACGGCCCUACGGGUUGUAAACUGCUUUUCCGGGGGAAGAAUAACCCCCCUGCGGGGGGGGGAUGCCGGUACCCCGGGAAUAAGGAUCGGCUAACUCCGUGCCAGCAGCCGCGGUAAUACGGAGGAUCCUAGCGUUAUCCGGAUUUACUGGGUUUAAAGGGUGCGUAGGCGGGCGCUUAAGUCCGCGGUGAAAGUCUGCGGCUCAACCGUAGGAUUGCCGUGGCUACUGGGGGUCUUGGAUUCGGUCGGGGCGGGCGGAAUGCGUGGUGUAGCGGUGAAAUGCAUAGAUAUCACGCAGAACGCCGAUAGCGAAGGCAGCUCGCCGGGCCGACAUCGACGCUGAGGCACGAAAGCGUGGGGAUCAAACA